rnacentral:misc_RNA from 1 species
AAGAGUUUCUGCAGAGGGAGCCUUAUGUUUUGAUGCUGCUGCAGAUAAUGCUUCUUGAGCUUCAGGUGAUUCAAUUGCAUCUUUAUUGAAGUAUACAUCGGUCAAACAUCUUUGGCGUCUCAUUUCUCCACGAUCUGGAUUUUGCAACAACUUGAGCUUCAGAUACACCUCUUCAGCUUCUACAGCUGCAGCAAGCAUCCGAUGCACCAGAAUAUCCGGAUAGCGCCGGAGCGGAGAAGUAAAGUGUGUGUAUAAAGGAACAGCAAGGGCAUAAUGACCCCUAUCAUUUUCAUCUUCUACAUCGCCACUGCAGAAGUAAGUUGCCA